UGUGCGUUUUGUUUGGUCACAGUCGCGUUUCCUCAGCGUUUCUGUUUACAGUUGGCUGAGAAUAUUAGUUUCUCCAAGGAAUUUCACAAGUGCUUUUUGUAUAACAUAUUGGUUGGUAAUGGGAAUAGAUGAGUUAAUGCCGAGUACAGUAGGUAGAGAGAAAUCAGUAUUCAAUUUUUGCAUUAUUUGUUUCAGUUUGUCUCUUUCAGGUUGGAAGUUUGGGCAGUGGAUAAUGAUGUGUUCAGAAACAUGAUAGGUGACAACUUGUUAUGCCCACUGCGAAGUCUAUGGAGUUUACGGUUGAUUGGAGUUGAAAAUAUCAGAUGCCAGGGGAGGGAACCCAUUUCUGUACGCAGCAUAGCAUUUAUCCUGUUUGAAGAGCUUUGUAUAGAGGUGAGAUUGGUAAGUGUGGCUUUGUUGAUGUUUUUUAUUAAUUUCUUGUAGGAUUUCUUCUACUGAGUUGUUGUUGUUCUCAUUUACAAGGGAGGAUGUGUGCCCAAGUUUGGCUAGGGAGUCAGCCCUUUCAUUUCCUGCAAUACCUACGUGGCUUGGGAUCCACAGUUUAAUUAUUUGUUUCUUAGAGCUUCUUAUAUCUUCUUGUUUUUGCAGGAUCUUGUUAAUUAGAACACUUUUGGUGGAUUUUGAACCUGUAGUCAAUUGGAGGGCAGAUAGAGAGUCACAUACUACUCCGUCGUUGUAGAGCUGCGAGCUUCGGUCAGUUUCCAGGAUUCUGCCAGAUGACGUUUUGGGCACCAUACACUAUAUCCGGCUACAUCUUGUAUAUGGUCAUGGGAACCGUCAGUGAAGAGGGUUCAAGAUGGCUUCCUUCUUGCUGAUGGCCAGUUUUUGGAAUGGAAAGUGCUUGAUUUCCCAUGGCGGAGGUUCCUUAGCAUAGUGUUGUGGACUAGGUCGUCUCCCAUGGUGGUAUUCUUCAGCUGGUUUAUGGCUUCCUGUAUUUCGGGCAAUCCUUAUCAGUGGAGCUAUGGUCUCUACUAUGACAAUUUAUACAGAACUCAUGAUGGUUGCAGUCUUCGUUCUGUAGAUGACCUUUGU